UUUACUCUCUGGCCCAUUAAAGAAAACAUUUGCUGACUCCUGGUUUAUGCAGAAGGAACAACAAACGCAAAGCCCUAAGGCACAAGUGCGCCUGUUGUGUUCAAGGAAUGGCAAGAAGGCAAGUGUGGCUAAGGUGCUGCUUCCAUGGUAGCCCAUCCUCUGGAGCAAGGUACCAUGACGAUGAGUACAUACCCAAAGGGAGAGCGUUAUUAGUAUGGAGACUUUGAAAUGAUAUAAGGUCUUUAGGAUUAACCAGAGAGAAAGGAGAGUCGGCAUCUAAGAGUUCUACAGCCAGAUGGCUGAGACAUGUGACACAGCUGUGUCUAGCCUCAGCGCCAGAGACGGAAGGCCCUGUCCUAUCAGCCAACCACAACUGACACCAUCUCACUGGGCUGCCAUGUCAAGUGAUUCUCUCUGAGGGAAAGAGUGUUCAGUUUUCAUUAGCAUGCUUGCACUUGAUUAUCGACCUGUGUGCUGAGUAGUGUUUAAUUUUUUUUUUUAAGUGUGGCCUGGCAAUGCCCUCGGAAUCACACUUGGUGUGCUUGACCUCCCCUAAGGAAUACUUUCCAGAAGUAUUAUCAUAUACAAUUUAUUCUCUUUUGUGUAUGUUGGGCGGGGCAUAUUUGGAGACGGGACAGAUGGGGUGGAGAAGGGAGCACUGGGGUUGGGGAUGGAACAAAAUAUUAACUUUAACUGCUUUUCAAAGCUUAUUCAGUUUCCACAGUAUAUUAAAUGUAUAUUAUACUGUGUAUAUUCA